rnacentral:lncRNA from 1 species
GCUGAAAGAAAGCAUCGAGCUCUUAGUAUCUCCUAUUUGCUGGGAGAUAGUAUGAAGGACCUGAUUAGUAUAGUUGUUUUGUUCAACUAUCCUAUCUAGGUCUCUGUUGAUGGGGGCUGAUAGGGGUCUAUCAUGCUUCUUCUUAAAGGGUGAAGCAUUGAGGAUCUCAUUAGAAUGAGGAAUUUUUAUCCCUUCAAGGGGAGGAGUAA